UACGAAGGGGGCUAGCGUUGUUCGGAAUUACUGGGCGUAAAGCGCACGUAGGCGGUCUUGUCAGUCAGAAGUGAAAGCCCUGGGCUCAACCCGGGAACUGCUUUUGAUACUGCAAGGCUUGAAUCCUGGAGAGGGUAGUGGAAUUCCCAGUGUAGAGGUGAAAUUCGUAGAUAUUGGGAAGAACACCAGUGGCGAAGGCGACUACCUGGCCAGGCAUUGACGCUGAGGUGCGAAAGCGUGGGAGCAACAGG
rnacentral:rRNA from 1 species